GACAGAGGGUGCAAACGUUGUUCGGAAUUACUGGGCGUAAAGGGCUCGUAGGUGGCCAACUAAGUCAGACGUGAAAUCCCUCGGCUUAACCGGGGAACUGCGUCUGAUACUGGAUGGCUUGAGUUUGGGAGAGGGACGCGGAAUUCCAGGUGUAGCGGUGAAAUGCGCAGAUAUCAGGAGGAACACCAGCGGCGAAGGCGGCGCUCUGGGCCGGUACUGACGCUGAGGAGCGAAAGCGUGGGGAGCAAACAGG
rnacentral:rRNA from 1 species